UCUGACAACUCUUGUGUGUGUGUGU
rnacentral:piRNA from 1 species